rnacentral:rRNA from 1 species
UACGAAGGGGGCUAGCGUUGCUCGGAAUCACUGGGCGUAAAGGGUGCGUAGGCGGGUCUUUAAGUCAGGGGUGAAAUCCUGGAGCUCAACUCCAGAACUGCCUUUGAUACUGAAGAUCUUGAGUUCGGGAGAGGUGAGUGGAACUGCGAGUGUAGAGGUGAAAUUCGUAGAUAUUCGCAAGACCACCAGUGGCGAAGGCGGCUCACUGGCCCGAUACUGACGCUGAGGCACGAAAUCGUGGGGAGCAAACAGG